GACGAACGCUGGCGGCGUGCUUAACACAUGCAAGUCGAACGAAGUGGCGAACGGGUGAGUAACGCGUAAUCAACCUGCCCUUCAGAGGGGGACAACAGUUGGAAACGACUGCUAAUACCGCAUACUGAAGGAGGGGAUUGAGUAUGCUUAGCUAGUUGGCGGGGUAACGGCCCACCAAGGCGAGGAUCAGUCGCCGGGCGGAGAGGAUGAACGGCCACAUGGGGACUGAGACACGGCCCAGACUCCUACGGGAGGCAGCAGUGGGGAAUCUUCCGCAAUGGACGAAAGUCUGACGGAGCAACGCCGCGUGAGUGAUGACGGCCUUCGGGUCGUAAAGCUCUGUUAAUCGGGACGCGGUACCGGAAUAGAAAGCCACGGCUAACUACGUGCCAGCAGCCGCGGUAAUUC
rnacentral:rRNA from 1 species